rnacentral:rRNA from 1 species
UACAGAGGUCUCAAGCGUUGUUCGGAUUUAUUGGGCGUAAAGGGCGCGUAGGCGGCGGGGUAAGUCGGGUGUGAAAUCUCGGAGCUUAACUCCGAAACUGCAUUCGAUACUGCCGUGCUUGAGGACUGGAGAGGAGACUGGAAUUUACGGUGUAGCGGUGAAAUGCGUAGAUAUCGUAAGGAAGACCAGUGGCGAAGGCGGGUCUCUGGACAGUUCCUGACGCUGAGGCACGAAGGCCAGGGGAGCAAACGGG